AAAAAUGCACAUAUUGUGAGCUCGAUGAGUAGGGCGGGACACGUGGUAUCCUGUCUGAAUAUGGGGGGACCAUCCUCCAAGGCUAAAUACUCCUGACUGACCGAUAGUGAACCAGUACCGUGAGGGAAAGGCGAAAAGAACCCCGGCGAGGGGAGUGAAAAAGAACCUGAAACCGUGUACGUACAAGCAGUGGGAGCACGCUUAGGCGUGUGACUGCGUACCUUUUGUAUAAUGGGUCAGCGACUUAUAUUCUGUAGCAAGGUUAACCGAAUAGGGGAGCCGAAGGGAAACCGAGUCUUAACUGGGCGUUAAGUUGCAGGGUAUAGACCCGAAACCCGGUGAUCUAGCCAUGGGCAGGUUGAAGGUUGGGUAACACUAACUGGAGGACCGAACCGACUAAUGUUGAAAAAUUAGCGGAUGACUUGUGGCUGGGGGUGAAAGGCCAAUCAAACCGGGAGAUAGCUGGUUCUCCCCGAAAGCUAUUUAGGUAGCGCCUCGUGAAUUCAUCUCCGGGGGUAGAGCACUGUUUCGGCAAGGGGGUCAUCCCGACUUACCAACCCGAUGCAAACUGCGAAUACCGGAGAAUGUUAUCACGGGAGACACACGGCGGGUGCUAACGUCCGUCGUGAAGAGGGAAACAACCCAGACCGCCAGCUAAGGUCCCAAAGUCAUGGUUAAGUGGGAAACGAUGUGGGAAGGCCCAGACAGCCAGGAUGUUGGCUUAGAAGCAGCCAUCAUUUAAAGAAAGCGUAAUAGCUCACUGGUCGAGUCGGCCUGCGCGGAAGAUGUAACGGGGCUAAACCAUGCACCGAAGCUGCGGCAGCGACG
rnacentral:rRNA from 1 species